rnacentral:rRNA from 1 species
AACGAACGCUGGCGGCAUGCCUAACACAUGCAAGUCGAACGAGACCUUCGGGUCUAGUGGCGCACGGGUGCGUAACGCGUGGGAACCUGCCCUUAGGUUCGGAAUAACUCCCCGAAAGGGGUGCUAAUACCGGAUAAUGUCUUCGGACCAAAGAUUUAUCGCCUUUGGAUAGGCCCGGGUUGGAUUAGCUAGUUGGUAGGGUAAAAGCCUACCAAGGCGACGAUCCAUAGCUGGUCUGAGAGGAUGAUCAGCCACACUGGGACUGAGACACGGCCCAGACUCCUACGGGAGGCAGCAGUGGGGAAUAUUGGACAAUGGGCGAAAGCCUGAUCCAGCAAUGCCGCGUGAGUGAUGAAGGCCUUAGGGUUGUAAAGCUCUUUUACCCGGGAUGAUAAUGACAGUACCGGGAGAAUAAGCUCCGGCUAACUCCGUG